GCCCGGGUAGCUCAGUCGGUAGAGCAUGAGGCUUUUAAAAAAUUACCUCAGGGUCCAGAGUUCGAGCCUCUGCUCGGGCG